UUGAAGCAGCGAGGUGGCCACGUGCAGAAGACUUAGGGUUUUUGUUUUUAAUUUUUUAAACAGAACAAGAAUUAGACUAACAUUUAUAUUUUUAUAUUGAACAACAGCCAUGCUUUGUGCAAAUCUACAUAACGUUUCCGAAUCAACCUCUGUUUUUGUUUUCAUCGUUGCAUUUGAAAAGGCGUCCCCAGGCCAUCUGCUGCUUUUCGCGAUAUGAAAUGUUACUAUGAAUUAAUGGACAACUUCAGCUUGGAAGAAUUCCUUUGCUGCAUAGAUGCUAUCAUAUAAACGCAUGGUGCCUGCAGCAAGGUCACGGACAAAGCACAAAGUGUUCCUCCCUCCAGUGGAGAUCACGCCAAGUAUCAACCACAAGAAACCUUUGACUUGAAGCUCCAUGACUGUGAUAGUUAAUGAAUUGGUGAUGUUGACAUCCGGCUGAAAAAGUACAUUUGAAAUCCUGAAUGGCCAUCUUAAGCUUAAAGCAGUUGUUCUGCUGUAUAGAUAAACUUGAGGCUUGAACCCCCUUCUGUCUGGAACUUCAAGAAGUGUUGGACUUCAAUUUCUAAAGUCUUCCACCGUGUGGUUUUUCAAUUGUGUAUCUAUUUGUUUUUGGUGCUGUGACCUGCUAAUUUUGUUUUGAUAGGCCUACUUUAAAAACCUUAAGUUGAUAUGGAUUACAGUGGUUUUUCAUGGGGAGACUUUCUGGUAGGAGAAAAUAUGUACUCCAGUACUGUGAGACACUGCUUUUAAGUGGCUAUAAUAUGGAUUGACACUGCUUUUUAGUUAGCAGUGAUAAAUUCCACUAGUGCUGGGAGGUAUACCGUUUCAUGCCGAAAACCAUUUAUUUUUGUUAUGAUAUGAAUUUUUCUUAUACCGCGAUACUGGUUUAAAUAGCCUAAACAGUGCUCGGAACAUGGCGCACCGGGAAACUGUUUAAGGGGGGACCUUUCACUGCUACACAGCUAAACACUUAUGCAAUGGAGUACAUGUGUUAGUGGAGGUAUUGUGCUGUGAAAAUGGACAGAGAACAUUCCGAAACUGAAGCAGCCGAUAAAGUUGAAUAUGAUGACACAGAAGAACUUUUGCCGAAAAAAGGAACUCUGUGUUGUCUGGAGAUAUUUUCGCUUUAAAAGGUCAGACGUGGGCCAAACAACUAUUUACUGCAAAUGCUGUUGAGCUAAAGUUGUCACCAGAGGCGGCAUCACGAGCAAUUUGCUGCACCACCUUAGCCGCAAACAGGCUUUGGAGUACCAUGAAUGUAUGGAACUAAGAUUGGCACCCUCCACGUCCUCGGGUAAAACUGAAACAGCUAGAGGAUGACACUCGAGUCAGACAUCACUUGUAGACGUGUUUGUUAGAGAUACUAGAUAUGACAAAAAAAGCAAGCAGUGGAUCGAGAUAACCAACGCCAUUACAAUCCAUAUAGCUAACGUGUCAGUGGACAGAGAUUAACAAAGUGUAGUUGGUUUACAAAAAAUAUUUACUAUUCCUUUUCUAAGCCAUGUUCAGUGCAAUACAACUUUUGACAAGCACCUCUGGAUAUUUUACUAUGUCUAAAUGCCUCUUUGGAUGGUUGAAAAUAUGUUGUCAAAAUUUAUAGUUGUUUGCAAAAUUUGUUCAAUAAAAAAGGUUCUAUAUUUUGACUGCAACUGACAUGCAAUGUGAUUCCUUCUCCAUUAGUGCCACCCCCUUGAAAACUAUCACUUUAUGGGGCCAUGCAAACCUGUAUUAAUA